rnacentral:rRNA from 1 species
CCAGGCGAACGGGUGAGUAACACGUGGGCAAUCUGCCCUUCACUCUGGGACAAGCCCUGGAAACGGGGUCUAAUACCGGAUAACACUCCUGCCUGCAUGGGCGGGGGUUAAAAGCUCCGGCGGUGAAGGAUGAGCCCGCGGCCUAUCAGCUUGUUGGUGGGGUAAUGGCCCACCAAGGCGACGACGGGUAGCCGGCCUGAGAGGGCGACCGGCCACACUGGGACUGAGACACGGCCCAGACUCCUACGGGAGGCAGCAGUGGGGAAUAUUGCACAAUGGGCGAAAGCCUGAUGCAGCGACGCCGCGUGAGGGAUGACGGCCUUCGGGUUGUAAACCUCUUUCAGCAGGGAAGAAGCGAAAGUGACGGUACCUGCAGAAGAAGCGCCGGCUAACUACGUGCCAGCAGCCGCGGUAAUACGUAGGGCGCAAGCGUUGUCCGGAAUUAUUGGGCGUAAAGAGCUCGUAGGCGGCUUGUCACGUCGGAUGUGAAAGCCCGAGGCUUAACCUCGGGUCUGCAUUCGAUACGGGCUAGCUAGAGUGUGGUAGGGGAGAUCGGAAUUCCUGGUGUAGCGGUGAAAUGCGCAGAUAUCAGGAGGAACACCGGUGGCGAAGGCGGAUCU